rnacentral:rRNA from 1 species
AGAGUUUGAUCCUGGCUCAGAUUGAACGCUGGCGGCAGGCCUAGCACAUGCAAGUCGAGCGGCAGCGGGUCCUUCGGGAUGCCGGCGAGCGGCGGACGGGUGAGGAUAGCGUCGGAAUCUGCCUUUUUGUGGGGGAUAACGUAGGGAAACUUACGCUAAUACCGCAUACGACCUACGGGUGAAAGUGGGGGGCCGCAAGGCCUCACGCAGAAAGAUGAGCCGACGUCGGAUUAGCUAGUUGGCGGGGUAAAGGCCCACCAAGGCGACGAUCCGUAGCUGGUCUGAGAGGAUGAUCAGCCACACUGGAACUGAGACACGGUCCAGACUCCUACGGGAGGCAGCAGUGGGGAAUAUUGGACAAUGGGCGCAAGCCUGAUCCAGCCAUGCCGCGUGUGUGAAGAAGGCCUUCGGGUUGUAAAGCCCUUUUGUUGGGAAAGAAAUCCAGCUGGCUAAUACCCGGUUGGGAUGACGGUACCGGAAGAAUAAGCACCGGCUAACUUCGUGCCAGCAGCCGCGGUAAU